CAUGGCUCAGGAUGAACGCUAGCGAUAGGCCUAACACAUGCAAGUCGAGGGGCAUCACAUGAAGUAGCAAUACGGAUGGUGGCGACCGGCGCACGGGUGAGUAACACGUAUGCAACCUGCCUUCAACAAGGGGAUAACCCGUUGAAAGACGGACUAAUACCCUAUAACACAGGGGCCCCGCAUGGGGAUAUUUGUUAAAGAUUAAUCGGUUGAAGAUGGGCAUGCGUUCCAUUAGCUAGUUGGUGGGGUAAUGGCCCACCAAGGCAACGAUGGAUAGGGGAACUGAGAGGUUUAUCCCCCACACUGGUACUGAGACACGGACCAGACUCCUACGGGAGGCAGCAGUGAGGAAUAUUGGUCAAUGGACGCAAGUCUGAACCAGCCACGUCGCGUGAAGGAAGACGGCCCUACGGGUUGUAAACUUCUUUUGCAAGGGAAUAAAGUGAGUCACGUGUGACUUUUUGCAAGUACCUUGCGAAUAAGGAUCGGCUAACUCCGUGCCAGCAGCCGCGGUAAUACGGAGGAUCCGAGCGUUAUCCGGAUUUAUUGGGUUUAAAGGGUGCUCAGGCGGGCGAUUAAGUCGGCGGUGAAAUUUUGCGGCUCAACCGUAAAAGUGCCUUCGAAACUGGUUGCCUUGAGUGUGGAUGAGGUAGGCGGAAUUUGUGGUGUAGCGGUGAAAUGCAUAGAUAUCACGAGGAACUCCGAUUGCGCAGGCAGCUUACUAAGCCAUAACUGACGCUCAAGCACGAAGGCGUGGGGAUCAAACAGGAUUAGAUACCCUGGUAGUCCACGCAGUAAACGAUGAUUACUGGCUGUUUGCGAUAUAAUGUAAGCGGCUGAGCGAAAGCGUUAAGUAAUCCACCUGGGGAGUACGUUCGCAAGAAUGAAACUCAAAGGAAUUGACGGGGGCCCGCACAAGCGGAGGAACAUGUGGUUUAAUUCGAUGAUACGCGAGGAACCUUACCCGGGCUUGAAAUGC
rnacentral:rRNA from 1 species